rnacentral:rRNA from 1 species
GAUGAACGCUGGCGGCGUGCCUAAUACAUGCAAGUCGAGCGAACGGACGAGAAGCUUGCUUCUCUGAUGUUAGCGGCGGACGGGUGAGUAACACGUGGAUAACCUACCUAUAAGACUGGGAUAACUUCGGGAAACCGGAGCUAAUACCGAAUGAUAUUUUGAACCGCAUGGUUCAAAAGUGAAAGACGGUCUUGCUGUCACUUAUAGAUGGAUCCGCGCUGCAUUAGCUAGUUGGUAAGGUAACGGCUUACCAAGGCAACGAUGCAUAGCCGACCUGAGAGGGUGAUCGGCCACACUGGAACUGAGACACGGUCCAGACUCCUACGGGAGGCAGCAGUAGGGAAUCUUCCGCAAUGGGCGAAAGCCUGACGGAGCAACGCCGCGUGAGUGAUGAAGGUCUUCGGAUCGUAAAACUCUGUUAUUAGGGAAGAACAUAUGUGUAAGUAACUGUGCACAUCUUGACGGUACCUAAUCAGAAAGCCACGGCUAACUACGUG